GAUUAACGCUGGCGGCAUGCCUAAUACAUGCAAGUCGUACGAAACUAUUUAUAGUUGAGUGGCGAACGGGUGAGUAAAGUAUUUCUAACCUACCCUAGAGAGUGGAAUAACUAUUGGAAACGAUAGCUAAUACCGCAUAGUAUAUUCUUAGGCAUCUUUGAAUGUUUAAAGGCGCGUUUGCGCCACUCUAGGAUGGGGAAAUAUCACAUUAGCUAGUUGGUAGGGUAAAGGCCUACCAAGGCUAUGAUGUGUAGCCGAGCUGAGAGGUUGAUCGGCCACAAUGGGACUGAGACACGGCCCAUACUCCUACGGGAGGCAGCAGUAGGGAAUUUUCCACAAUGGACGAAAGUCUGAUGGAGCAAUGCCGCGUGAGGGAUGACGGUCUUUGGAUUGUAAACCUCUGUUAUAAGGGAAGAACACAUAUUAUAGGAAAUGAUAGUAUGCUGACGGUACCUUAUCAGAAAGUCACGGCUAACUAUGUGCCAGCAGCCGCGGUAAUACAUAGGUGGCAAGCGUUAUCCGGAUUUAUUGGGCGUAAAGAGUGCACAGGUGGUUUAUCAAGUCAGUUGUUAAAGCCCGGGGCUCAACCCCGGUUCGCAAUUGAAACUGAUAGACUAGAAUAUCGGUGGGGGUAGUAGAAUUCCAUGUGUAGCGGUGGAAUGCAUAAAUAUAUGGAGGAAUACCAGUGGCGAAGGCGGCUACCUGAACGAUUAUUGACACUUAAGCACGAAAGCGUGGGGAGCAAAUAGGAUUAGAUACCCUAGUAGUCCACGCCGUAAACGAUCUAGACUAGACGUUGGAAUAAUCCAGUGUCGCAGGCUAACGCAUUAAGUCUAGCGCCUGGGUAGUAUGCACGCAAGUGUGAAACUCAAAGGAAUUGACGGGGACCAGCACAAGUGGUGGAGCAUGUGGUUUAAUUCGACGAU
rnacentral:rRNA from 1 species